UGGGGAAUAUUGGACAAUGGGCGAAAGCCUGAUCCAGCCAUGCCGCGUGUGUGAAGAAGGUCUUCGGAUUGUAAAGCACUUUAAGUUGGGAGGAAGGGCAUUAACCUAAUACGUUAGUGUUUUGACGUUACCGACAGAAUAAGCACCGGCUAACUAUGUGCCAGCAGCCGCGGUAAUAAAGAGGGCGCAAGCGUUAAUCGGAAUUACUGGGCGUAAAGCGCGCGUAGGUGGUUUGUUAAGUUGGAUGUGAAAUCCCCGGGCUCAACCUGGGAACUGCAUUCAAAACUGACUGACUAGAGUAUGGUAGAGGGUGGUGGAAUUUCCUGUGUAGCGGUGAAAUGCGUAGAUAUAGGAAGGAACACCAGUGGCGAAGGCGACCACCUGGACUAAUACUGACACUGAGGUGCGAAAGCGUGGGGAGCAAACA
rnacentral:rRNA from 1 species